rnacentral:rRNA from 1 species
UACGGGGGGGGCAAGCGUUGUUCGGAAUUACUGGGCGUAAAGGGCUCGUAGGCGGCCAACUAAGUCAGACGUGAAAUCCCCAGGCUCAACCUGGGAACUGCGUCUGAUACUGGAUGGCUUGAAUUCGGGAGAGGGAUGCAGAAUUCCAGGUGUAGCGGUGAAAUGCGUAGAUAUCUGGAGGAAUACCGGUGGCGAAGGCGGCAUCCUGGACCGACAUUGACGCUGAGGCGCGAAAGCGUGGGUAGCAAACAGG